AGGCAGCAGUGGGGAAUUUUGGGCAAUGGGGGAAACCCUGAUCCAGCCAUGCCGCGUGUAUGAAGAAGGCCUUAGGGUUGUAAAGUACUUUUGUUAGGGAAGAAAAGCUAGUUUUUAAUAAAAAUUAGUGAUGACGGUACCUAAAGAAUAAGCACCGGCUAACUACGUGCCAGCAGCCGCGGUAAUACGUAGGGUGCAAGCGUUAAUCGGAAUUAUUGGGCGUAAAGCGAGUGCAGACGGUUACUUAAGCCAGAUGUGAAAUCCCCAAGCUUAACUUGGGACGUGCAUUUGGAACUGGGUGACUAGAGUGUGUCAGAGGGAGGUAGAAUUCCACAUGUAGCGGUGGAAUGCGUAGAGAUGUGGAGGAAUACCGAUGGCGAAGGCAGCCUCCUGGGAUAACACUGACGUUGAGGCUCGAAAGCGUGGGGAGCAAACAGGAUUAGAUACCCUGGUAGUCCACGCCCUAAACGAUGACAAUUAGCUGUUGGGCUUUGAAAGGCUUAGUAGCGAAGCUAACGCGAGAAAUUGUCCGCCUGGGGAGUACGGUCGCAAGAUUAAAACUCAAAGGAAUUGACGGA
rnacentral:rRNA from 1 species